UACGGGGGGGGCAAGCGUUGUUCGGAAUUACUGGGCGUAAAGGGCUCGUAGGCGGCCAACUAAGUCAGACGUGAAAUCUCUAGGCUCAACCUAGGAACUGCGUCUGAUACUGGAUGGCUUGAAUCCGGGAGAGGGAUGCAGAAUUCCAGGUGUAGCGGUGAAAUGCGUAGAUAUCAGGAGGAACACCGGUGGCGAAGGCGGUUCUCUGGGCAUUACCUGACGCUGAGGAGCGAAAGUGUGGGGAGCGAACAGG
rnacentral:rRNA from 1 species